rnacentral:rRNA from 1 species
GCGUUGUCGUCAGCUCGUGUCGUGAGAUGUUGGGUUAAGUCCCGCAACGAGCGCAACCCUUAUUGCCAGUUACCAUCAUUUAGUUGGGGACUCUGGCGAGACUGCCGUGGAUAACACGGAGGAAGGUGGGGACGACGUCAAAUCAUCAUGCCCCUUAUGUCCUGGGCUACACACGUACUACAAUGGCAACAACAACGAGCAGCAAGUCCGCGAGGCCAAGCGAAUCUCCAAAUGUUGUCCCAGUUCAGAUUGCAGGCUGCAACUCGCCUGCAUGAAGUCGGAAUUGCUAGUAAUGGCAGGUCAGCAUACUGCCGUGAAUACGUUCCCGGGCCUU